GGUUGUCAAGAUGUCACAAAAGUUACUUUCCGUAAAGUCAUUAUAGAUUUUUGCAUUCACGUUGUUUAAUUGUCAUAUUGUACAAUUGUUAACAAUGCAACUUGCAAACAAUCGUUUUUAAAACGACCAUAAGUCAAGCUGUUACGUCAUUUAGGGGGUCUCCUUAUAAACUGCUACUUUUUUUUGCCCGACAUAGAAAAAAUCUGAGAAAAAUUACAAAAAUUGAGAAAUGAAUUGUCAAUCGUUUAAGACCAUUUCCAAAGUGGCACACCUAAAUUUGACAUUUGGACGCAAUUUCAAAGUUGGAUGUUAUAUGACGGGGUUUUGUUAAUUAAUUUACGCAUCGAACACACCCGUCCUCUAUAUGUAACAUCACAUGACUUUUAAGUGAUUCAAACUAAUUUUUUUUAAAUAAUAUUUGCAUGUUUGGCAUGUUUUUUCUUAAACAAUUACAAUUACACCGAC
rnacentral:lncRNA from 1 species